rnacentral:rRNA from 1 species
AAUGAACGUUGGCGGCAUGGAUUAGGCAUGCAAGUCGAGCGAGAAGGGUUUUGAAGCUUGCUUUAGAACCCGGAAAGCGGCGCAAGGGAGAGUAACGAGUAGUUAUCUACCCCAAGGCCCGGAAUAGCUGCGGGAAACUGCAGGUAAUGCCGGAUAAUAUCCCCGGAUCAAAGGUGUGAUUCCGCCUUGGGAGGAGACUGCUUUGUACGAGCUAGUUGGUAGGGUAAUGGCCUACCAAGGCUACGAUGCAUAGCGGGCGCGAGAGCGUGGCCCGUCUCACUGGGACUGAAACACUGCCCAGACACCUACGGGUGGCUGCAGUCGAGAAUCUUCGGCAAUGGGCGAAAGCCUGACCGAGCGAUGCCGCGUGCGGGAUGAAGGCCCUCGGGUUGUAAACCGCUGUCGUAGAGGAGAAAGGUCUGAUGAAGAAUCAGAUUUGAUCUAUUCUAGGAGGAAGUCGGGGCUAAGUUCGUGCCAGCCGCCGCAGUAAAAC